UGAGGAAUUAUGCGCAAUGGACGAAAGUCUGACGCUGCGACGUCGCGUGGGUGAUGAAGGUCUUCGGAUCGUAAAACCCUGUCGAGAGGGAAGAAAGAGCGGGCGCUAAUAUCGCCUACUUCUGACGGUACCUCUGGAGGAAGCCCCGGCUAACUCUGUGCCAGCAGCCGCGGUAAUACAGAGGGGGCAAGCGUUGUUCGGAAUUACUGGGCGUAAAGCGCACGUAGGCGGAUUGUUAAGUCAGAGGUGAAAUCCCGGAGCUCAACUUCGGAACUGCCUUUGAUACUGGCAAUCUAGAGUCCGGAAGAGGUUAGUGGAAUUCCCAGUGUAGAGGUGAAAUUCGUAGAUAUUGGGAAGAACACCAGUGGCGAAGGCGGCUAACUGGUCCGGUACUGACGCUGAGGUGCGAAAGCGUGGGGAGCAAACAGGAUUAGAUACCCCUGUAGUCCCUGAGCGGGCUGGCAAGGCG
rnacentral:rRNA from 1 species